rnacentral:rRNA from 1 species
CACAAGCUUUUAAAAAGAGGUUGUAGCUGGCCUUCCGAGGCAUGUGCACGCUCUGCUCAUCCACUCUACCCCUGUGCACUUACUGUAGGUUGGCGUGGGCUCCUUUGCGGGAGCAUUCUGCCGGCCUAUGUAUACUACAAACACUUUAAAGUAUCAGAAUGUAAACGCGUCUAACGCAUCUAUAAUACAACUUUUAGCAACGGAUCUCUUGGCUCUCGCAUCGAUGAAGAACGCAGCGAAAUGCGAUAAGUAAUGUGAAUUGCAGAAUUCAGUGAAUCAUCGAAUCUUUGAACGCACCUUGCGCUCCUUGGUAUUCCGAGGAGCAUGCCUGUUUGAGUGUCAUGGAAUUCUCAACUUAUAAAUCCUUGUGAUCUAUAAGCUUGGACUUGGAGGCUUGCUGGCCCUUGCUGGCCGGUCCCCCUGGAAGGCUUAACUCCAAUCCCGAAGGGACCGGUCCCCAUGGGAAAAUUGGCCACCCCGGGAACCGGAAAUGGUUUGGCCAACUUCCAAACCGCCAUUAAGAACACUUUUUAAACACCGAACUCCAAUCCAGGAAGAAUACCCCCUGAACUUUAACCUAAUCAUUAACGGAAGAA